GUCUGAGCUAGAACUCAGAAAGCAGAGGGAACAUUAUUUUCCUCCUCUGUGACAUUAUUACACAUGAAGAAACUGAGGAUUGAGCAAGUCAAGUCACUCAACUCAAGGUCACUCAGCCAAUAAGCGAUGGACUUAGACUGAACCCAGAAUUAUAUCUGAUAAUGAUUUGCUGUGAUUUUCCUGUUAGUGAAUUCCUACCUGCAGGCCCACCACCAUUCCAGAAACUAUGCUGACAGCACUUUGUUGAUGGAGAACACUGAGGUAUGAAGGCGUUACGUCAUUGUCUCAACAUUACACAGGAAGUGUUGCUGUUGGAAUUUGCAGCCCGGCAAUUUAAUUUCACAGCCUAUACUUAACCACUUUUUUAUACCGCUUUCCUCCUCUAUAUUUUUGGUGGUGAAUAUGAGAAGAUAAUUUUGAGGGCAUUACGAGCUAGAGAAAAAUGGCCAGAUUUGGUACAAGUGAAUUUUCCAUGGCCUCACAAAUAAGUGACUAAAGAUCGACCUCCAAGAAACUCAAGAUCUGGUCUGUGUAGAUUUAUAGUGAUUGUGCUGCACCCCAAGAGAUAUUUUCAAUGCAUUGUGUAACUAGCUGGCAAUUCACCAUUUCAGAGAAAUUCAGCCUUGCAGGGGGAUCCUUCUCAAAAGUCUCCAAGUGAUUUCCAAGGAGAUUGAGACCAUCAAUCAACAAUCCUGAGUCAGCCAAGGAAAGUCCUUUGGCACACGACGGAA